GACGAACGCUGGCGGCGUGCCUAAUACAUGCAAGUUGAGCGCUGAAGGUUGGUACUUGUACCGACUGGAUGAGCAGCGAACGGGUGAGUAACGCGUGGGGAAUCUGCCUUUGAGCGGGGGACAACAUUUGGAAACGAAUGCUAAUACCGCAUAAAAACUUUAAACACAAGUUUUAAGUUUGAAAGAUGCAAUUGCAUCACUCAAAGAUGAUCCCGCGUUGUAUUAGCUAGUUGGUGAGGUAAAGGCUCACCAAGGCGAUGAUACAUAGCCGACCUGAGAGGGUGAUCGGCCACAUUGGGACUGAGACACGGCCCAAACUCCUACGGGAGGCAGCAGUAGGGAAUCUUCGGCAAUGGACGAAAGUCUGACCGAGCAACGCCGCGUGAGUGAAGAAGGGUUUCGGAUCGUAAAACUCUGUUGGUAGAGAAGAACGUUGGCGAGAGUAGAAAGCUCAUCAAGUGACGGUAACUACCCAGAAAGGGACGGCUAACUACGUG
rnacentral:rRNA from 1 species